UCAUAAUCCACAACAUCAUCAACCAUUUUGCGCCAAAAAUGAAGCCGUUCACAUACCAUGGCAUCCUAAGCAGGCAGCACUACACUACUGUGCAACAGUGAGAGAGAGCGGGCAAGGACAAGUAAAGCGGACCUACACUACAGCAAGACUUUGACACUUCUCCACGUUAGAGGCAACCAUCACCCCCACCGUUGAGCAGCGGCUAUGUGUAACCCCCAAAAGAGGAGAUGAUCCGACGAUGUGUGUGUGGUGUGUGCGUGUGUGUGUGUGAUGUAUGAUAUUGUAACACUUCAGUCCUUCUUUUAUACUAUACAGUGUAUACAUAUACAUUUGUGGGUUUGUUUAAAAACCAUAGCUGAGGUUAAGAAAUGCAUUAUGACAAAUACAUCUGAUUCAGGUGUACUGUCUUUUAUUUGCCACAAAUAAAUCACAUCCUGGAAACCUGUACGAUGUGUGGAUUUAAAGAUCUGCCAGAUCUUUGUGACGGCACAGGAUUGCAGUGGAACCCAAACAUAGCCUACGAACUCCCACGCCAUCUCACCAACUGCCGAUAUGCAGUAUGCCUGAUUUUUCCUGUACAGCAAAGAAAUGUAGAGAUUGUGCCUUCAUCAAGAAUAGGUCAUUUGGAAUCACAAAAAUUAUUCAAUUUACUUUGUGCGUGUGGUGUUGCUAUUGCUGUUAUUAUUAUGUUACUAGUGACCCCUUUAGUUGAGUUCCAUAGUCUACAUGAAAUCUCUGCACUUGUGUUACCACUAUUGGGAUUGGCAGCUCCCUAAAUGAAAAUGAGAAAAACUUGCCUGGAUGAAAUGUUAUGAACUGUAUGCGUUGUGCUGCUUGCUGAAGUAACAUGACACCCACAUCACCUUCCAGAAAUAAAGUGUAUACAGGCUACCUAA